GCCUCUGUAGUUGGUUAGAGCGCUGUACCAGUAUUGCAGGGUCGCAGGUUCGAUUCCAGCCAGCAAGUUG